UUGAUGGGAGUAGGGGCAGAGGAUGUUGUCAGAGCAGCCUUUCUGGAGGAAUUUUUGUCUGAGCUGAAAUAGGAAUUACAAGGUGGUGGAGGAGGAGGAGGGCUUUCUGGGAAAAGGGAGCAGUGUGUGAAAAAGGUAAGAAAGCACAUGUGUGGCCUGUUUAGGGAACUAUAGUCCUGAGUGGCUUGAUUAGGGAAGGAUAGGAUAUGUGAGGGAGGAAGAGGGACUGGUGAGAUUUGAGGCUGGGUGGUUGGCAGCCAUUGAAUAAAAAAAGUGCUUUGUAUGUUAUGCUCAGACAUUUAUGCUAAAAGUAACAAAGAAAUGUAAGCCCCAAGGUGACACGGUAAGGUCUGUGUUUUGGAUCAGCGUAGAAACUGCAACGUAUUCCUAAAAGACUAAGUGAUCCCCAGCAAAGAUAAUUAGAGGCCACUGACUAUCUCUCUAAAUCUUUCCCAGCAUUAAUUUUGAAUUAAAGGGUUUACAUGCUAAGGUAAUGUAAUAAUAGAAGGGUGACAUGAAUUAGUUUCUCUAUCCUCUCUUAUUAAGAAAACAUUUUGCAUGUUGGUAUAACACACUGACUUAGAUGACUAAAAUUAGAGACUAAAAUUAAAGCCAGCAAUUGGUGCUGGGCCUCUUAAGGGAUCUGGUGUGAGGUUGAACAAACCUGAGUGCCUCCUGUAGGCCAGGCACUGUUCUAGGAGCUGACGGUAGAAUGACUUGGGCAUCUACAGUCUGGUGGAGGGACAGACUUGUAUGUGAAUGCUUAUGUACUAGGUUCCUUUACAUACCUCUUCACUUGCCAUCUGACCUCAUAGCUUUACAGUAUGGAUGAGGAAACCAAGGGUGAGAGAGGUAUUCUUUUUUCCUAACUUCAUCGAGAGAUAAUUGAAUAUAACAUCGUGUGUCUUUGAAGUGUGCAGUGUGGUUUGAUAUACGUAUGUAUCACAAAAUACUUACACAGUGCUGUCACCAUACCUAAACAACAACAAACAACAAUUUCCUAAUAUCAAAUAUAGUCAGCAAAGUGUUUUCUUUAUGAUUGAGGGAAAAUCCUUUUUUCUUUUGAAACUAAAUCUAGAGACUUGAUUGAUCAUUUUUUGGGGGAGAAGUAAUGAAAAUUGGUAGCCUUUUUUUGUUGUUUCUUGACACUACUAAAUACUUCAUAUAACCCAUAUGAAGAUGAAAACUAACAAUAUAAGGACUCCUCGAAUUGUUUGGGUAGAAUUGGGUACAGAUUAUUAUCUAGUUUUUACAUGUCAGUAAACUGACUCAAAGAAAUGAUUUGUCAACCGUCAUAUAAACUGCAAACACCUUGUGCUGAAAUCUGUCAUUUGAAUCAUGCUCAUUCCAUAAAUAUUUAUUGAGUUCAAGAAACUUGCUAUUUAUAUUUCUUUAUAAAUGCCUAUGACCCACAUUAUUUUUAUAGCAAGGACAUUCUUCUCUUUGAUUACCCAAUUUCUUCUAUCUUUUGUUGUCUUAGAAUUUUAAAGCCCUUUCCCCCUCCUCUGUCCUACCCUAGUUUUUAGCUGAUGGCAUGACUUCAGGGUAACAGAGGGGAAAUUUUGGUCUCCAGCAGAGGGUCAGUUGCAACUAUGAAAACAACUCAGGCAAAUGGUCUAUUGAUAGUAGAACUUUUCAUUAUAAAAAGUUCCUUUCAAAUUCCAGAAUAUUGGUUGCUUGGUCACUGAAGAGUCUGUCCUACCAUUCACUAGCACCCUGGGUGUCUGAGCAGACCUGGUGAGGAAUGCACUGCUCAUUUUGAAUGAGAAGAAAAGGGAUAGAGAAGCCGCCUAAAACAUUGCACCACCUAACUCAAACAUUCUAUAGGUGACAUAUAGUUGAUACAGAGUAUUAGUCUUUUAGGAUAUACCCUAGCAUACAAAUGAUUUUCAUUUUGAGCGGUGCCAUCCUUGACUAUAGCCACAAUUCUUUUAAUGUACAUUAAAAUGGGCAUUGGUGAAAGCUCAUUGCUUUCCUGGUCUCUGUGGGUGAGAAAAUUUGCUUUAAUGUGUCAAAUUUGGUGCCAGUUGUUGUCAAAUCAACAGAAUACGGCAGCGUACCUACCUUCUUUUGUUCCCCUUCUUUAAUUUUUAAGCCCUUGGAUCUCAUAAUUUCCCCCAAAGUUGCAUAUACUGUCCACUCCACAAUGAGCAGAAGCGGUAGUGCUGAUGAAAUCUGCCCUCGAUAGUGGUCAGUUAUAGAUCUGGAAUGUUUAUUCCCCUGGGCUUUCCAGCUGAGGGAGCCCGGCAUGAACUCCUACUUUGGAAAAUAUCUGAGUGGGCAGACUCAUUUGCCACAUUGCCCUCAUUGUCUGUCUUUGUUUAUUCAGCUGAAAAGCUGUACUUGUCUCUCACACAGCCAGGCAUGAAUCUCAAGGUCUCAGACGCUGUUAAAAUGGGCAGAAAAACUGGGGAAGGGAAAGAAUGGAAAUGGUUAUCAGAUACUGACAUACCGCGCGGCGAAGGCGCGUCUCAGGGAAGAGCAUGAUGUUAGGUGGUUAUAAAGUCCAACUCUGAGAACGUUUUUAUGGGCCUGUUUUAUAGGAUCUUUGAUUUCCUGUGAUUUCUCCUACCUUUUGGGAAAGAGACAUUUGAUAAUUCAUCAGCAAACAUGAUUUGAUUUUGCCACAAUAGGAAACUAGGUUUUUAGGACAUCCGCGUACCACUGAGCCCAGGUAGUGAUAAAUUUCCUGUGGUCGUAAUAACGUGCACAUGCUCUUGGCAUUUAUUUCUCUGGCUGUGUUUAUCUCUCAACUGGAUUAUUUUAGCAGCCUACUAAAAGGUCUCUUUGCCUUCGUUCUUUCCCAGUCCAUUCUUUACACUGUAGACCAAGUUAUGUUUCUAGAAUGUACAUCUGGGGGCACCUGCUGGCUCAGUCGGUUGAGUGUUGGGGACUCUUGAUUUCAACCCAGGUCGUGAUCUCAGGGUUAUGAGAUCGAGCCCUGUGUGGGCUCUGCACUCAGCGGGGAGUCCACUUGGGAUCCUCUGUGUUCCUCUUGCCCCUCCCCUGCUCCUUCCCCACGUGCUCUCUCUCUCAAA
rnacentral:lncRNA from 1 species